GGGGAUAACACUUGGAAACAGGUGCUAAUACCGCAUAACCAUAGUUACCGCAUGGUAACUAUGUAAAAGGUGGCUAUACUACCGCUUUUGGAUGGGCCCGCGGCGCAUUAGCUAGUUGGUAGGGUAAAGGCUUACCAAGGCAAUGAUGCGUAGCCGAAUUGAGAGGUUGAUCGGCCACAUUGGGACUGAGACACGGCCCAAACUCCUACGGGAGGCAGCAGUAGGGAAUCUUCCACAAUGGGCGAAAGCCUGAUGGAGCAACGCCGCGUGGGUGAAGAAGGUCUUCGGAUCGUAAAACCCUGUUGUUAGAGAAGAAAGUGCGUGAGAGUAACUGUUCACGUUUCGACGGUAUCUAACCAGAAAGCCACGGCUAACUACGUGCCAGCAGCCGCGGUAAUACGUAGGUGGCAAGCGUUAUCCGGAUUUAUUGGGCGUAAAGGGAACGCAGGCGGUCUUUUAAGUCUGAUGUGAAAGCCUUCGGCUUAACCGGAGUAGUGCAUUGGAAACUGGGAGACUUGAGUGCAGAAGAGGAGAGUGGAACUCCAUGUGUAGCGGUGAAAUGCGUAGAUAUAUGGAAGAACACCAGUGGCGAAAGCGGCUCUCUGGUCUGUAACUGACGCUGAGGUUCGAAAGCGUGGGUAGCAAACAGGAUUAGAUACCCUGGUAGUCCACGCCGUAAAC
rnacentral:rRNA from 1 species